AGCCUUUUAAGACACAUGUUUUGGAAUGCAGUCAAAUGCGUGCUGCUGUAUGACCAGCCUAUUUGAACUACUUAAGCAUCAACUAAUUAAUCUGCAAGUGAAGAAUACUUCCAGCAUUACUCUAUAAUUAGACAAUCUCAGGAGGAAACCAGAGGAUUUCAAAGGGGAGUCAGAUGGUUUUGCAGACCGCUACAUCAUUUAUUUUUUCAUCACUCAGAUUAUGCCUCCAAAUCCUAUGGAAGUAUAACAACCAUAGAACAGACAACACCAACAGCAUCAACAACAGAGAAACUCAGUCCAGAAGGAUAUGAAACCCUUUGUAGUAAAGCAAGCAACAGCCGUGAA
rnacentral:lncRNA from 1 species